rnacentral:rRNA from 1 species
UAGGGAAUCUUCCGCAAUGGGCGAAAGCUUGACGGAGCAACGCCGCGUGAGUGAUGAAGGUCUUCGGAUCGUAAAACUCUGUUAUUAGGGAAGAACAAAUGUGUAAGUAACUAUGCACGUCUUGACGGUACCUAAUCAGAAAGCCACGGCUAACUACGUGCCAGCAGCCGCGGUAAUACGUAGGUGGCAAGCGUUAUCCGGAAUUAUUGGGCGUAAAUCGCGCGUAGGCGGUUUUUUAAGUCUGAUGUGAAAGCCCACGGCUCAACCGUGGAGGGUCAUUGGAAACUGGCAAACUUGAGUGCAGAAGAGGAAAGUGGAAUUCCAUGUGUAGCGGUGAAAUGCGCAGAGAUAUGGAGGAACACCAGUGGCGAAGGCGACUUUCUGGUCUGUAACUGACGCUGAUGUGCGAAAGCGGGGGGAUCAAACAGG